GCCGUGGGCGGGGUGCUAUACAUGCAGUCGAGCGGACAGAAGGGAGCUUGCUCCCGGAUGUUAGCGGCGGACGGGUGAGUAACACGUGGGUAACCUGCCUGUAAGACUGGGAUAACUCCGGGAAACCGGAGCUAAUACCGGAUAGUUCCUUGAACCGCAUGGUUCAAGGAUGAAAGACGGUUUCGGCUGUCACUUACAGAUGGACCCGCGGCGCAUUAGCUAGUUGGUGGGGUAAUGGCUCACCAAGGCGACGAUGCGUAGCCGACCUGAGAGGGUGAUCGGCCACACUGGGACUGAGACACGGCCCAGACUCCUACGGGAGGCAGCAGUAGGGAAUCUUCCGCAAUGGACGAAAGUCUGACGGAGCAACGCCGCGUGAGUGAUGAAGGUUUUCGGAUCGUAAAGCUCUGUUGUUAGGGAAGAACAAGUGCGAGAGUAACUGCUCGCACCUUGACGGUACCUAACCAGAAAGCCACGGCUAACUACGUGCCAGCAGCCGCGGUAAUACGUAGGUGGCAAGCGUUGUCCGGAAUUAUUGGGCGUAAAGGGCUCGCAGGCGGUUUCUUAAGUCUGAUGUGAAAGCCCCCGGCUCAACCGGGGAGGGUCAUUGGAAACUGGGAAACUUGAGUGCAGAAGAGGAGAGUGGAAUUCCACGUGUAGCGGUGAAAUGCGUAGAGAUGUGGAGGAACACCAGUGGCGAAGGCGACUCUCUGGUCUGUAACUGACGCUGAGGAGCGAAAGCGUGGGGAGCGAACAGGAUUAGAUACCCUGGUAGUCCACGCCGUAAACGAUGAGUGCUAAGUGUUAGGGGGUUUCCGCCCCUUAGUGCUGCAGCUAACGCAUUAAGCACUCCGCCUGGGGAGUACGGUCGCAAGACUGAAACUCAAAGGAAUUGACGGGGGCCCGCACAAGCGGUGGAGCAUGUGGUUUAAUUCGAAGCAACGCGAAGAACCUUACCAGGUCUUGACAUCCUCUGACAACCCUAGAGAUAGGGCUUUCCCUUCGGGGACAGAGUGACAGGUGGUGCAUGGUUGUC
rnacentral:rRNA from 1 species